rnacentral:rRNA from 1 species
AGUGAACGCUGGCGGCAGGCCUAACACAUGCAAGUUGAACGGCAGCACAGGAGAGCUUGCUCUUUGGGUGGCGAGUGGCGGACGGGUGAGGAAUACAUUGGAAUUUACCUUGUUGUGGGGGAUAACGUAGGGAAACUUACGCUAAUACCGCAUUCGACCUACGGGUGAAAGCAGGGGACCUUCGGGCCUUGCGCGAUUGGAUGAGCCGAUGUUGGAUUAGCUAGUUGGCGGGGUAAAGGCCCACCAAGGCGACGAUCCGUAGCUGGUUUGAGAGGAUGAUCAGCCACACUGGAAAUGAGACACGGUCCAGACUCCUACGGGAGGCAGCAGUGGGGAAUAUUGGACAAUGGGCGCAAGCCUGAUCCAGCCAUGCCGCGUGGGUGAAGAAGGCCUUCGGGUUGUAAAGCCCUUUUGUUGGGAAAGAAAAGCAGCCGGCCAAUACCCGGUUGUUUUGACGGUACCCAAAGAAUAAGCACCGGCUAACUUUGUG